rnacentral:lncRNA from 1 species
UUCAUAGAAAAAGUGGUACAGUUUUAGCCGUAAAAGGAGUUCUUAUGGGAAAUUGCAUUGUCAAUAUUUACAGAAAUGCAACCUAUAUUGGGGAAAAAAAGAACCUACAGAAUUUAACCACAUUUGGUUUGUCUCACAGAUUUUAAUAGAAUUAACUCUAAUAUAAAGUGUUAUAAAUAUUUCAUGAAGAUUGAGAAAAUCCUUGGCCUUGACUAUGAUGACUACAGCAUAAAUUCACAGUUUACAGUAUACAUAAUUUACUUAAAGCCCUGAAUGCAAAAAAAAUCAUAAUAUAUGCAUAUUUGUAAGUUAAAUUGUUAAGAAGUGCUUAUACUUACUCUUCGCUGUCAUUGAAAUUCAUAGAUCCUUCCUCAAAAUUAUUGGUGGGAUGUUUUUGUCCUGUCCAUAACCCAAAAGUAAACCGUAACACCUAAAUCUGCUUGUUUGUCACCACGACAUAAACAAUCAAAGCUAGAAACACAAAAAUAUCUCAGUAAAACUUACAAUAGUGUGUCCUAUCCUGAAUAUGUACUUAAUAUUCCAUAUGGCUAGAAACAGCAGAAUAAUUUAGGACAUUUGAGGCCCCAGGGGCAAAAAACAGAGAAAAUUGCUUACACCC